rnacentral:lncRNA from 1 species
GGGGAUUGAACCCAGGGGUGCUUAACCAUUGAGCCACAUCCCAGCCCUUUUAAAAAAUUUUUAUUUAGAGACAGGGUCUCACUAAUUUACUUAGGACCUUGCUAAGUUGCUGCAGCUGGUCUCAAACUUGAGAUCCUCCUGCUUCAGCCUCCUGAGCCUCUGGGAUUACAGGAGUGUGCCAUCGUGCCUGGCUGAAAGUGGGCAAUUCUUAAGACCCACAGAGAUAGUGACUGUGUGGAGUUCUUCAGAAAAGCAAGGUUGCUCACUUAUUUGGGGGUGGACGGAUGGAUGAAAUGGAGGUGCCAGGAGAAGGUUUUCCUUCGAUUUUACUUGGGGGAAGAACGAGACUAGCUUUGACUGUGCUGGGACGUGCUCGGUGCUCUAUAAGCAUUAUAUCAUUCAGUCCUCACAACAACCAAAUGAGACAGGGACUAUCUUUAGCCCCACUUCACAGUUGGGGAGCCAGAGCCCUUGAGAGGGUAUGCACUUGCUAAUGCCUAUCAUGAUAGCGGUCAGCUAAGAAGCAGGGUCUGCGUCGAAUCCCGCCUUCUGGUCUUUGCUCACCAUGCUGCUAGGCUAGGUGGGGCAUGGUGCACCUCAGGAGAGAUGAAAGGAGAGCCCCAAAUCAUCCAAUGGUGGGGGCAUGCCAAGAGGAGACUUGGUUCUAGGACAGUAAUAUUUUCUAGUCGUCUCAACAAGCCUGCCUGGGAUCUUUUUUGGGGGUCCUUGAUGAGGUUGGGCACCCCAUCUCCCCUCCACCUGGGAUCCUCUCUGCCACAAUCUGAUCCUCCCACAGAGAAUAGACAGAGGGUCAUUUCCUUCAAUGUCCUGCGUCCUCAGUAACCAGAGUUCUGGGGUGGCCCAGGAGACAUCUUUCCUCCUCAGUUCUUGGCAAAGCAGAUAUAACCAUGGCUCUCAAGAGCCCCUGUUCUCCAUACCCCCUCCCCUCUCUUCUUCCUGUUUUCCAUUCAGCCUCCCCUCUGUUUAUGCAUUUGUUUCUCCAGGACCUGCCUUCACUGGCCUGGAAGAGGGGGACACCUGGCUCUGUGCUGGAAUCCUCAGGUUCAUACAUUCAGAAACAUUUCUAGAGCAGAGACUUAUUUUGGAAUAAGCAAGGAAGUGGGCAAUAACACAGUCUCUGCUCUUACAGGGCCUGACAGCUGGGGCAACGAAGGAGCCAAUCAACGAGUCCACUGCAUGGCGAUAGGGAUGGCUGCAGGGGCCCUGGGAGGCGGGGAGGAGUGGCAAGUUGAGGAGGGCUUCCUGGAGGCAGUGGGGACAGACAAGUCUUGAAGAGAGACCCUCCCUUUAUCAAAUUCUAAUUUACUAUUCCCUUUUCUCUGCUCUUACAACCCAUUUUUGGAAAACAACAGCCAUUCAUCCAUUCGCUAAUGCACUGCAGAAUGUGUGCCAGGCACUGUGCUGGUGUUUGGAAUUCACCAAUGGUGAAGACCGACUUGCUGCCUUCCUGAAGCUGCCAGACCAGUGAGAACCACCAAGCAGGCAAGCAAGGACCCCACAGAGCCCACGUGGAAUCUGUUCUCUCAGAGAAAGGCCUCAAGUCAAGGAGGAGAAGCCACGAUGGCCAUUUUACAGAGGUGGUGGCUUGUCCAAGCCAUAGGGCAAGUACACAGGGAAUCUGAGGCCCCACCUCAGUCGUCAGGCCCUGAGCGCCUGUUCUUGUCUCAUACUUGGGUGGUCCUUGCAGAAAAAUAGGGGCUGAAAGUAAGCUUGCUACCUAAGGGUGACUGGGUGUGGGGUGGGCAAUUAGGCAAGAGAAGAAAUUGAAGACAUUCAAUAGGAAAGGAAGAAGUGAAACUAUCACUGCUGAUAUGAUCACAUGAGUAGGAAGCUAUAAGGAGUCCGUUACAAAACCGUUAGAAUUCAUCGCAGUGUACAAAAACCAACACACACAAAUCAGGAACGUUUCUAUUUGCCAACAAGGAAUUUUGUGAAAAACUAAAUGUAGAGAAAUUAAGAGAACAACUCCAUUUACAAUGGCUACAAAAAAUACUUAGGAAUAAAUUUAACCAAGGAAGAGAAAGACUCGUGUAAUAAAAACAAUGAAAUGUGGAUUAAAGAAGACAGAAGUAAAUGGAAAGAGAUCCCCUGUUCAUGGAUCGGAAUCGGAAUAAUUAAUACAGCUAAAAUCUCCAUAUUUCCCAAUGCGAUCUGCAGUUCAGUGCAACCCCCAUCGAAAUUUCAAUGUCCUUUUUCCUAGAAAUAGAAAAUCAGGUACUUUUCUUUGUAACCUGGGUCUAGUAUUCAGUUUUCUCCUGCUUCUCUCUCUUCUCCCAGUAGGUGGGGCCAUGGGAAGGGCUGGGAAGGGCUGGGAAGGGCUGGGAAGGCCCGGAAGUAGAUGUUCUAAGUCCCUGGGCUAAGCCUGGUGGGGUGCACAGAAUGUUCCUUGGCUUCUGCAUCAUCCCCUCUUCCUCCCACCUCCUCCAGCUCCUCUCCAGCCUUCUCACAUUCUAUCUCCCCCUCUUCAUCUUUUGCCUUUUCUUACUCCAUUAAUUUCUUCUUCCUUUCCCACUCAUCUUGCUUUCUCCUUUCCUUCCUCCCCAUUUUUUCUCCCUAUCUUUUAUCUCCCCCCCUCCUUCCCCCUUCUUUUCUUCUUCGAACUAAUUGCUCAAAGGUGAAGACCAGGUCGACUUGUGAAAACCCUGAUCCAUCGCCAUGGUGAUGCUAAUUCAAGCUGAGUUCAAAGGAAAUUGCUCCAGUUAAAACUAACAAGCUGGAGCCGGCGCCCAGCAAGGACCAGUGCCAAGAGGAGCGAGCCCUGAGCCCCAGUGCCCAGAAAAAUAGGAAAACAACCCCAAGGGCCUCUCACACGCCUACUCCUUACCGUGCCCUCCCUUGCAGCCUUCAGGUCUGUCCCAGCCCAGAGCAAAUCUGCAAGGUCUUUGCAGCAAGCCCCCUGUCUCCAGGCCAGACUUCCCAAGCCACGUCAAGCAGCUGGGCAGCCAGCACCAGCUCUGUUUUAAAGCCAUUGCAUAGUCUCCCUCACGCUGCGGUUCUGGGGUUUAACCACCCUUGCUUUGGAGAGUUCUUUACGGUCCACACCAACACUCUGCAUUGCUUUCUAGUAAGGAUAGACUUGGAAGUACCAGGAGCAAAGGAACAAACCCGAAGAGAUGCUUGCUGUGAGUUCGAUGCUGUCCUAAGACUUCAUGAGUGUUUGCUCAAUUUUGUGGGAAAGAUCCCAAUGGAACAAACUGCUAGGAGCCUGGGGUGACUCCAGCAAGGUCUGGCUGGUUUAAAGAACCACAUGGCAGCCCUCAAACUGGGGAGAGAUGCCUCAAAACUGGAAAGAGGAGGGUCUAAGUACCAGUGACACCCUUCAGGGCUUUGCCCCCUCCAGUCCUUCCUUUCUGGCCCCACAGCCUGCAGCUGUGGUGCCUUCCAUCUCAGCACAUGCCACUUGUAGUCUGGUCACCUGCAUGUGGUUCUUCUCUACUCUGAGGGCAGGGUCCAUGCCUUCUUUUUGCACCGAACAAAAUCUGUUCCAAAGCAGGCCGUGGCUCAAUAUUAAUUUCAUGUCUGAAUGCUGAAGGGGAAGGAAUCCUAGAUCCUUGGGAGGUACAAAAAUUUUAGUUCCCUCAGGUCAUGAGACUCUGAAGGAGCUGGGUUAGGGGAGCUCGGCCCCAUGGUACCAACCGCAGACCAGCUGGAGAAUUUUCUGCUGGAUCUUGUAGUUCUGGUCCGUUGGCCAGGCCACCCUGGACACCCUACUCCUUAGCAGCUCUCACCUCUCUGCCUUUGACCUUCCAGAAGACCUCAUUCCUUUGCUCAACACCCAGUUUUGUGUUUUUUUUUUUUUUUAAAUUUGUAUCUGGGAUGGAACCCAGGGAUACUUUGCCAUGAAGCGACAUCUCUAUUCCUUUUUAUUUUUUAUUCUGAGACAAGUUCUCACUAAGCUGCUGAGGGUCUUGCUAAGUUGCUGAGGCUGGCCUUGAAUUUGCAAUCCUCCUGCCUCAACCUUCUGAGGUGCUGGGCUUACAGGCGUGUGUUCACUGUGCCAGGCUUUUCAAUUCAAUUUUAUUGUUUUAAUCCCAAGAUAUCUAGUGAUCCUCUAGGAACUAAAGAGGUACUGGUCUAGCAGAGGGAGAAAUUCCUUGAAGGCCAAGACCACAUCUAUGCAACCAUCACCUUCUGGUAACCAAAGCACAUAAAAAUGCUGUGAGCUCACUGGAGGGCGCCACAAUUAAAUGAGAGAGUGACCUGAGGCCUGGCUGCCCCAUGGGAAGGAGCCCGAGGGCUUCAGCUCUGCUUUCCUCAGAUGUGCUCCUCCGCUUUGGGAAGGCUCCUCUGCUCUUUGUUCCUCAGCUUCUCCGAGUGUAACAAAGGAUGCUCAUUGCUCAGCCACCUAGCGCUCCCAGACACGUCAGGAGAGUCAGGAAGCUAAGAAUGUGGGACAGCGUCCCUACCUGCACCAAGGCCAGCAGCGCCUCCCUCCCCAACCCAGGAGGUGGUGAAUUGAGGUUCAAGCCCAACCUAUGUCCUACAGACUGUGGGAUUCCCCCCACGUGCACCCCAACGACUGUCCUGAAGGGGAUUACUGUGCCUGGAUUACAGAGGCCAAGUCCUGCCAGGAGGGAGGAGGAAGUGACUCAGCAGGGGCUGGGAAGGCCAGGCCAGCCUCCCACUCUGGGACAGCUUGCAGGGAGCUUUGUGCUCAGCCCUGUUCCUUUCAUCCCAGCAUCUCAAAGCCCCUUUCAAGCUGGAAGCAGCCCUGGGAGCUGGGUCAUUAUCUCAAUUAACAGGAGAAAGCUGAGGCCCAGGCUGGUGGGGGCAACUUUCUUCUGAAUUAAGCCUGGGCAGCCAGAACUUCCCAGCCCCAGGCUUCUGACCCCACUCCGGGUUGGCUGCAGGGGCCUGCUGUGGAGCAAGCAGGAGGGGGCCGAUUUGCCCUUGCCUGUCACUCCAAGCAAGGAUCAAGGUCUUGCAUGAGGACCUGGAGGGGAUAUUGGCAGUGCUGGAAUUUCCUAGAGAACAGUUCAGUGAUGCCAGGUGCCAUGUGGUGGCACACGCCUGUAAACCCAGAGGCCAGGGAGGCUGAGAGAAGAGGAUUGAGAGUUUGAGGCCAACCUCAGGAAUUUAGCAAAGCUCUAACCAACUUAGUGUGACUCUGCCUUAAAAGAACAAAUAAAAAGGAGUGGAGAUGUAGCUCAGUGGUUAAAUACCUCUAGGUUCAAUCCCUAGUACCCAAAUAAAACAAAACAAAACCAUCAAAACAACAAUAAAAAACCAAAACAUUUCAGUGCCCACCAUCCUCACAGUUGUUGCUCAGGAGGAACUUAUAUAGAACGUGUUUUUCCAAGCCGGAGAGAAGGGCUAAGGUGAGUGAACACAUUCUAGGAGUAGACGCAGUUUGGUUUGGGGAGAUCGUCCCCCCCUGGGGGAAGCAUACCUAGGCUGUGGAGACCCUGAGCCGUAUUAGCCAGCAGAUUCUAUUGAGUUUCUCCCAUCUUCACUGUUAGGAGAUUUAUCCAACAAUUCAACCAAUGAUUGCUGGGCUGCUGUGUACCCAGUCUGAGGCAAACAGCACAGUUCUAAAUCCUGCUCAGGUGCUGCCUGGCUGUGCAAACUUGGGUCUUUAACCUCUCUGAACUUCAAUUGCCUCAAAGACUCUUUGGCUCAGUAUCUAGACUGCAGAAGACCCCAACCUACUAACACCCCAACCAUGGGGGACACAGAGUAUAGGGGUUGGCAGGAACCUCCUUCAUGUCCCUCAGGGAACAGGGCAGAUAGAUGACAUGGCGUUCCUCAGGUCACACAACCAGGGAACCUGGGUUGUCAUGAGAAACCUUCAAAGGGAGUGUGUUUGUGCCUUUCUAGGUGGGAUGAGGCGGCUUCGCUGGGUGCUGAGUCAGGGGGAGAGGCUGAGCUCAGCAUGCCGGGAUAAGAAAGGGAGUGUGCAGGUGGGGUGUCGUGGGGAAGCUGGGGCCGAGGAGAACCCAGGAUGUUGCACAAGGAAGAGCGGGAGUGGGGGAAGGGCCACUUUUAUAAGGCAGUGGAAGAGGACAGGUCCAGGCUCCCUGGACGGAGGGCUGCCCGCCCCCGUGAUGAUGCUUCAUACUGCAGGGAUCAAAGCUGUCCUGUGCUCCAUUCCCUGGGAACGGGGAAGAGUGCUGGGGCCACUAACACUCGAGCUUCUCACGGGGGCCUGCUUGAUGUAGCUGCCUCCGUUUCCCUCAUGGCCAGCUCCCGCCCCCGCUUGUUUCUGAAGAGGCCUGUUUUAGCCCAGUUGUCCUCCUGCCGCCUCCAGCUUGGGUGGCUGACUCAGCCCCUGGCUUGAUGUCCAGGGGGCCUGUGGCUGUCCAUCUCAUCAAUGCCAAGCUUCUCUCUCUGGCUUUCACUGGCUUCUGCACAUCAGCCCCCACCUCCAUCUCUCUUUGUCCUGGACAGUGGCUCUGGACUCACCCUAGUUUAUCUGUUCAGUGACCUUGGCAUCUGACUCAAUUUUGUCUUUGGUCUUUGCAUAGUCAGACACAGGGCAUGCUUCGGCCCGGGCCCCUUCCCACCCUGUACUUUAGAAAACUCUCAGUGGCAGAUGAAUCCCUGCAGCCUUCUCUGUUAGCCUCUCUCUCAGCUUCACUUUCUGCAGUGGGCCCUGAUGAGGCCUGGCUCAGGCCAGAAAGCCCAGGCUUGUUUCAGGUCUGCCUGUCUGUGGGUGGCUGCUUGGUCUGGCACAGGACCCUGUGUGGGGAGAUGAGAAAGCCUGGUGGAAGGGAGACAGCUGGAGAGUCCUCUGGCCAAGUCUGGAAGACACAAUAGGGUGGUGACGAAUGGGAAGGAUUCUUCAGAGGGAGGGGACCUGGGCUGGGUAUCCAGAUCAUAAGGAGAAAAGAAUUUGAACUUUCUUCUGGGGUUUGUGCAUUCUAGUGAAUAAUUUCUGCAGUAUGACUUCUUAGAUCAUUAUCUGAGGUUUCCAAGUAUCUUCCCAUUAGGACCCCCUCUGUCUCUCACUCCUCAUAUUCCUCCAUUCCUUCUCUGGCCUCUGGCUCAACUGCCCCUGCCCUUUCAGUACAGGAGACUAAACCCAGAGGUGCUUUAUCAGUGAGUUACAUCUCAAGCCCUUUAAAAUUUUUAAUUUGGAGCCAGUCUUGCUAAGUUGCCCAGACUAACCUUGAACAUGUGAUCCUCCUGCUUCAGCCUCCCAAGUAGCCGGGCUUACAGGCAUGCAUGCAGCUGCACCUGGCCUGGUUUAUGUUGAGCUUUUUGACGUCUUUGAAUGAGUGUUAAUUUCCCCAUUUUGCGUACAAAGGCUUAGAAGGAUCUGGUAAUUUACUUACAGACUCAAAGCCAAUAAUGUUAGCUCUGGGAAAUGAAUCAAGUCCACCUGAAUCCAGAGCCCACGCUCAUCCCUUUACACUCUCAGUACAGAUAUCUGUGUGGCAUAUGCACGUGUGUUCUUGUAUGGGGUUUGUAUUUUCAACUGUGUGUGACUGCCUCAGAAGUGGACUGUUUUUGCUCACGACAUGUUUUUUUUUUUUUUCCCCCUAAGCUUCAUGGAAUCAGAAAUGACAGUGUUAGCCCAGCAUGGUGGUGCAUGCCUGUAAUUCCAGUGGUUUGGGAGGCUGAGGCAGGAGGAUCAAGAGUUCAAAGCCAGCCUCAGCAAAAGUGAGGCACUAAGCAACUCAAUGAGACUCUACAUAAAAUGCAAAAUAGGGCUGGGGAAUGUGGCUCAGGGGCUGAGUGCCCUUGAGUUCAAUCCCUGGUACCCCCCCACCCCCACCCAAAUGCCAAUGUUUGGCUCUGCAGCUUCAGAACCUAGCUUCUGCCCUGCCCAGGGGAAGAGGAAAGUGGUUUCAUCACUGUCACCUGGCAUAGUGGCAGUCAUGGCAACGACGUGGCUUCUAGUUGAAAAUGUAAAAGUGUUUGCAAUGGUAAAGUGGAGAAAGAGGGGGUCAGAGAGCCUGUGCUCUAGGCUCAACCAGCCUUUUACCAAGUACAGGACCCUGGGCAAUCUUUGGACUUCACUCUCCUGAACUGUGCAAUGGUGGGGCGUGGGGGUUGGAUUAGAAGACACAGUGUGAAGAGCAUUCUGGGUAAAAGAGAAGGUAUCAGCCAUUCAUAAAUACCGACUGGAGAUGUUGGAGAAUUGGGACACAUUUUCCCCAGCUGGCUUUCGUUGUCUUUUUCUUUUCCCUUCCCUCCCUUUCUCCUCUUUCUCAUUCUUUUUUCUUUUCUAAUACUGGGGACUGAGUCCAGGGCCUCACAUCCAUUAGCAAGAACUCUACAACUGAAUGUAUUCCCAGCCUUUUAAAUUUUCAAAAAAAAUUUUGAUCUAGGGUCUUGCUCAGUUGUCCAGGUUAGCCUUAAACUUGUGAUCUCCUGCCUUGGCCUCCCCAGUAGCUGGGAUUACAGGCGUGCACACCACGGCAUCCAGCUCUGUUCUUAUGGGACAUCUUGAGGACAGUGCAACCUUCCAUCCCCCUCCCAGAGAGGGCCUAAUUGGAUGGGCCAUCCAAAAUGAGACCUCUCAUAAUGGCAGAAUGGACAACCUGGCAGCCUCCUUCCUCUCAUCAGGGGACAAUAGGAAUUAUUAAAAAUCAAAUUAGUCAUUCCAGAUGCUAAGAACCCUCAAUGAUGAACGUGGUGACGCUGCCCUGUGAGCUAAGCUUGGGAAGGGGUGAUGCUCCUGAGUGAACGAAUGCUGGGAUGCUGUUUUAUAAGGGGCAGAGUCAGAGACAAGCUGGGAGCAGUGGCCUUCCCCUGGUGAGAACCAGGUGCUGAGGGAAAAACCCACCAGUGCUCAUGGUGGAUGGAGACACGCCUGUUCCCCGCCUGAGGAGGACAUUGGCUGCUGCUCUCUGUGGGAGCCUGAGGGCUCCAGAGGGCCACUGCUGCUCUCCUGAGCCAGCAGCUGCUGCCCAGGGGAGGGUGUGCAUGAGCAAGUGGCCAAACUCUGGGUUAGAAAAAGAUGGAAAUAUGGGAGUGAUGUGGUCCAGGUGAUGGGAAAAAAGAGACUGUAGUUUCCUAAAGGACAGGAAAUCAAAGAGCAAGACCAACAGGUCUGCAAGGGAAUGGGACAGAACUCUGUCUCAAGGUCUUCUUUGUUGGAAUUUGUAAGAAAUCAGCCCUUUUGCCGGGCCCUGUGGCACACGCUUUUAUAGGCUAUUCAGCUAUACAGGAGGCUGAGGCAGAAGGAUUGCAAGUAUGAGGCCAGCCUCAGCAAGACCUUGUUUCAAAAUAAAAAAUAAAAAGGACCAGGGAUGUAGCUCAGUGGAACAGUGCCACUGGGUUGAAUCGCCAGUCCUGGAAAAAGGAAAAACAAAAAAUAAAAUAAGAAAUGGAACUUUCUUUGGAGGUUGUGUUGUGUGUUGCUGUUUAGACCUGCCUGAUCCUCCAGUGAGAUGAACCAAUAGGCCUUGCAUAUCUCCAUUUUAGCUCUCCAUAGUUGACCUGGGACCCAUUCUCCAGGAAGAAGUUAUCCAGAAAAAGGCUAGAACUCAUCCCCUAUUUUCUUGCAGGGGAUCUUGCUGAGAUGGGAUAGAGGAACACUAAAUCCUGGUGGUGGGUGACUGGCGAGUCCCCAUGGUUACUGGGAGCAGAAGGAGGAUCCAGGGGGCUAGUAGUGGUAGAGAUGACCAUCCACACACACAUGUGAGAGACUGAAUUCCCUGAAGGCUGUUCAGGUUAGCAAGGAAUGACUUGAGGGAGACCAAAGGAAUAAGAUAUGUUCAGGAUCUGGAUUCACAUAUUCCUCAAUGCCCAUUCUGGCACCGAUGAUUGGACUGGAAACAUAGCCAAGAGGUUAUUUUGUCCAUCUUCCUGCCUCAGGCAGGACUGACUAAAUUUUGAUAUAUGGUUGUCUUCUUGUUUCCCUAUAUCUCCAGGGAUCACCAUAUUAUGUUUUAUUCUACUCACCCACCCAUUCACCUGUGCAUCCAGCCAUCCAUAGUUUAUUGAGGAUGAACAAGGCAAGGUUCCUUUUCCUGAAGACUCUUAGUAUAGGGCGCGGAUGUUGCUCAGUAGGAGGGCACUUGCCAAG